rnacentral:rRNA from 1 species
CCUACGGGAGGCAGCAGUGAGGAAUAUUGGUCAAUGGGCGGGAGCCUGAACCAGCCAAGUCGCGUGAGGGAAGACGGUCCUAUGGAUUGUAAACCUCUUUAGGCGGGGAGCAAUGCCGGGCACGCGUGCCCGGAGGGAGAGUACCCGCAGAAUAAGCAUCGGCUAACUCCGUGCCGGCAGCCGCGGUAAUAAGGAGGAUGCGAGCGUUAUCCGGAUUUAUUGGGUUUAAAGGGUGCGUAGGCGGAUUUUUAAGUCAGCGGUAAAAUGUCCGGGCUCAACCCGGGCCGGCCGUUGAAACUGGGGAUCUUGAGUGGGCGAGAAGUAUGCGGAAUGCGUGGUGUAGCGGUGAAAUGCAUAGAUAUCACGCAGAACUCCGAUUGCGAAGGCAGCAUACCGGCGCCCGACUGACGCUGAGGCACGAAAGCGUGGGGAUCGAACAGGAUGAGAUACCCGAGUAGUC